rnacentral:pre_miRNA from 1 species
UUAAUUCAAAUUUGUAUGCAGUUGGAACAGCGCCCCUAGCGGCAAACUUAGGCAAAAGUUCCAACUCCAUACAAAUGUGAGUUA